rnacentral:rRNA from 1 species
AACGAACGCUGGCGGCAGGCUUAACACAUGCAAGUCGAACGCAUCCUUCGGGGUGAGUGGCAGACGGGUGAGUAACGCGUGGGAACGUGCCCUUCAGUUCGGGAUAACCCAGGGAAACUAGGGCUAAUACCGGAUACGUGCGAGAGACGAAAGAUUUAUCGCAGAAGGAUCGGCCCGCGUCUGAUUAGCUAGUUGGUGGGGUAAUGGCCCACCAAGGCGACGAUCAGUAGCUGGUCUGAGAGGAUGAUCAGCCACAUUGGGACUGAGACACGGCCCAAACUCCUACGGGAGGCAGCAGUGGGGAAUAUUGGACAAUGGGCGCAAGCCUGAUCCAGCCAUGCCGCGUGAGUGAUGAAGGCCUUAGGGUUGUAAAGCUCUUUCGUCCGGGACGAUAAUGACGGUACCGGAAGAAGAAGCCCCGGCUAACUUCGUGCCAGCCGCCGCGGUAAGAC